rnacentral:rRNA from 1 species
GACGUAGGGCGCGAACGUUGUCCGGAUUUAUUGGGCGUAAAGAGCUCGUAGGCGGCUUGUCGCGUCGUCCGUGAAAACUCACAGCUCAACUGUGAGCUUGCGGUCGAUACGGGCAGGCUAGAGUUCGGUAGGGGAGACUGGAAUUCCUGGUGUAGCGGUGAAAUGCGCAGAUAUCAGGAGGAACACCGGUGGCGAAGGCGGGUCUCUGGGCCGAUACUGACGCUGAGGAGCGAAAGCGUGGGGAGCGAACAGG